CCUCUGUAGUCUAAGAGGUGCCCUUUGGUUGCUGGUACCCUGGGCAUACCAGGCUUGCAGAGAGAGCAGCAGCGCGAGGAAGCCGAGGCGUGCCUGUCGGAGCGCAGCAGCAGCAUGCGCAAUAUUCCUCCCACAGUUGCCACUCUGUUGCCACGGAGGUAAUGACUUUUCCCGUGUCAUUAUUGAUCUAUCAACAGUAAGAGCAAUUUUGCAGUCUGAUAUUGUUUAGCAGAUAGAGUAAUAUCUGCUGAACACUGAAAAAACUGCUAUAAAA
rfam:Taeniopygia guttata chromosome 5, whole genome shotgun sequence.